CAUUUUGUUGAAUAACGUGACCGGAUUCAAGCUACUUCUUUACUGUUCUUCUGUUACAUCAGUUUUUUUGUACAGUUUUGCCUGUUUUGCGUAAUUUUGGUCGCUUUUGUUGAGUAAAUUUAUUGCUUAUUUUAUUGCAAUUUAAUUAGCGGUGUUUGCGUCCGUAUUUAUAGUAAGUUUCUGCAUUAUGUUAGCUUUUAUGUAUGUUGGUUCCUCGUACUUAUAUACCUAUUGCCAGAAGAAAAUCUCCGGUUUCCGGUCGUCUUUUCUAUCUCGCCUCAUGGCGCUGGAAUGGAAUAAUACUACAGAAAUGUCGAAGUACUUGGAUACGAGUCGAAUUCGAAUAUUGUUGCAGUGAAUCGUUUAUUGCCAGGGCCAAGAUGUACUUUUUCGGCAUGUUUAAACUCAGACGACCGCAUCGCAUCGAUCAUAUUAUGUAUUUUAUCGAUCAGAAGAAUGAAUAAUGAAGCAUCGUCACCUUCGUAAUCCUGGAAAAUUCGUGAAAAGGAGAAAUAAUAAAUCGUCGUGUUGAUUUUGUUUUUUUGGAUGAUUAUUAAUCUGGUCUGGUGAUGUUAAAAGACGUUCGGUCCUUUGGCGAACAUCAGUUUGUCGCUCGCCUUUGAUUUUCCUCCCACCAGUUCAUUUUACGGUGAUUAGAUACAAGUACAGAAUGUCAGAGCUUUUAUCGAAAUCACCUAUGAGUCGAAUUUUUCGUUGCAGUAUCACUCGUUAGUUGUCAUUUUUUUGAUCAGUCGCAAAAUAUCCGCUUGGUGUACCUAAUACCUAUGUCGGGUCUAUUUGCUGCGUUGCGUUAGUUCAACGGUGAAUUUGAGCGAUUUACGAAAGAAUAAAGAAAGAUGAACAAUGCACAUUUGACAUCAAAUUUUUAAAUUGAUGUUUGAUGUAAUGCCGGUCUUCUCGUUAUUAUUUUACCUUCAUGGUUGAAAUGUGCGUUUAUGGGAGAAAGAAAAGCUGCUGAAUAUUUUCACAUCAGAUUUUCAAAUUGAUGAACGUUGGGCUACCUGAUGUAUUCCUUCAACUUUGAGCAUUUGUGGAAGAAAGAAAAUGAAGAAAUGGAUAUGGAUAAUAUUCGACGUCGGAUUUUCGAAUUGCGUACGCGAGAUGUUUCCCCUCCCUCCGAAGAUGAAUUCGACGCGAUUUUUGGAAUUUCUGCUAGGAUUGGAUUGGAUCGGGUAUUGUCUUGGCAGUUAUAGGCAAAUUAGCGGUCGUCAUUGUCCGUCGGUGAUGGCCACUAAUUGAAGUGCCUCCGCAUGAUUGUGGAUGACGGAUAUGAGCCGGAUGAUUGGUCAACGUGGCGACUUACUCAGAUGGACUUCCUGACACGAAUUGUGCUUCCGUGCUGGUGGAUGCUGAUUUCGUUGCGUAUCCGAGCCGUGGCGAGAUCACUAAAGGUAUUCCAUCUGGCCAUUCUCCGAUCCGGUCAGCUUGGGUACGGUCGGAGAGAAAGUCUGCUAUAUAGUCUGUGUUAGUUGGGGUUGAAAUUUACGUGUUUUUUCUGUUGAAAAUUUCUAAAUUUUGUCUUGCUUUUUUAUUUUUCAUUUAUUUAUUUAUUUUUUUUCAAUUCAAUCAUUAUUUUUGGCUUCAUAUUUUCUUACAUUUUUCUCCCGUCUCUAUAAAAGGUGUAAACAAUUUUUACGGGUUGGUUUUGAUAUAAGGCAAGUAUGGCGUGCGAGUUUUCUACGUAAAUUUCAUUUUUUCCAUUUAUUUAUUUUUUAUUUAUUUUUUUCAUUUAAGUUGUCCCUGUGCAUAACUUAUGUCCAACUUUACCAGAUCGUCUCGGUGGCCCAAGGGAAUUGUCGCCGGCGGGCCUGUGGAGUACUGGUAAUGCAAAAUUACAUUUUUUUUUCUGCACAUUCUCUCGAUUUACGCGAAAAGAUCGCAACUUUCGAGUGGAGGAGUUGCGCAACCGGCUCAUGUCUUGGACGUUACGGCGUAGCCUCCGCGUGUCCCAUGAGAUCCCACUCCCUCAGCAGCAACAGUCUGGAUAAGCCAACUUUACCGCUUCGCAAUGCCAUUAAUCGGGUUGGCGGUAAUGCAAAAAGCUGCACUUAAGGUUUUUGGACCGCGCGUAAAGAUCGCUACGCUCGAGGGAAGACGUAGCGCAGGUUCUCCUGGACGUACCCGGUAUCGAUACUGGCGCGGGUUCCUUGAGAAAUCCUCUUCCCUCAACCCAUUCUCAGUCCUUUAGGUGGGGUACCUAUUCUUGUUCAUGAUGAUGCGUGAAGGGGUAAAGUAUGACGGACUUUGCCAAGAUGGAGGAGAUCUAUAUACUGAGACUACUGUAUCCUGUUUCGAUUCCGACGUCUGAAAAUCUCACCUGAAGAUCUGAUCUUCAUCGAUGAUCUACAUCUUUCGAUUCGAAUUGAAGCUCGCGAUUGAAAACUGCACCACCGAUCUUGUUAAACAACGAUAUCAUCGAUAUGACCAUCAUGCUACAUUUUUGUUGAAAUUUUCUACACGCAACAAGUGUUCGCGAUGCUGCAUCCGCAGAGACGGCUGUAAUUCGAUCUUUCGAUUCCAAAGCCCAAAACACCGAAUUCGCAGGAAUUUCAAUAUGUUUGAUGUAAUGCCGGUAUCUACUCGUUAUUUCACUUGAUCGUUGAAAUGCGCAGUUUUUGGAAGAAAGAAAAGCUGAAUAUUUUCACCUCAUAUUAUCGAAUUGCUCAAGAUCAGUUGUUUGAACGGUGGAAAAUGCGUAUUUACGGAAAAUUGGUUAGGAGGCGAAGACCAGACCCUGCAGAUCUAAGAAUGGAAUUCAGAUGCAGAUCCUGGAACCAAUACGUGUGAUAUCAUCAUCAGCUCCACAAUACGAGUAUUCUCCGGCUUCGAACGUGUAACGUCUUACUAUACGUAUGUAAUUUUUGUGAUCUCGAUAUCUCUCGCCUCCCUCCCGCCCCUCCAGUUUCAAUUUUACGCGAUCAGCUUUCGACAGAACAAUACUAGUGUGGCGAUUUUAUUCAGCAGAACCAUGAAUUUUUUAACCGAGCAUCAAGAAGCACUUUUUUGACGAUGAUAAUACAAUGUUUGUUAAUGGAACUUGUCGCUCCCCCCUCUCCCUGCAUCGCAGAACUUGGUACACGUACAAUAAACGCAAUACAGCGCUGAAUAAUUUUUUGAGAAGUACAUAUAGACUUAUUAUAGCUCGGAGAACGAUAUUUUUACACGCAAUUUUUAUGCUGCUGUGCGAAUUUUUUGAAUGGUAUAAUGCUCUCACUGGACUACUUUUGAAUGUAGCAGUUUUGUGUGGUAAUUUUAGCUGCCACAAUUUUUUCUGGCUGAAGAACGAUAUUAUAAAUACUUAGUUAAGUGUACGAAUUCGUAAAUAAUAUGAUUGUGCACCCAACUAACUGAUAUUUGAUGAUUGAAAUGAUUCGAUUGGAAAAGCUGUAUGGUUAUUCCCUGAAGAUGGAAUACGUAGUUCCAUAUUGAGAACUUGCAUGAACGUUAGCUGCUUUGUUUACAUCGAUUUUAUGGACGAUUAUUUGCGUGGAUAUUCAACGUUUUUUUUCCCAAUUGAUGGAAGAAUAUGGUCGAUGUAUUGGAAUUUUUUAAAGCUCGACGUACGAUACGAGUAUUUUUACGCUUUAUUUAGGUACUUUAUUGAAGGGCUCUCUCUUCAUUAAGAUUAUAUGGGCCGUGGGCGAAUAGGGAUGCUAUUUUAGGAUAGGUAUUGCAACGAUAUUCAUUUCGAACAAUUAUUAUUUUUGGCUUUAGUUUUUUGACUUUGAUCAAAUCAGUUAUUGUAUUGGGUAUGAUUUAUGAUGUAUUUUUUUUUUGUUUUUUUGAAAAUUGCAUAGGCAUUCGAUGAUUUUGGAUUCAAAAUUGGGAAAAUGUUGGAUGGUUAGUGCGUUUUGAGGAAGGAAAGGUGUUGUUUCACGAUGUAUUAAAUUUGGCUGUUUUCAAAAUUCAUUGUAGGUAUAAGUUGAGCGCCGAUGUUGGUAUCUGGUCAACCUGGAGACCCCACAACAUCGGAAGAGACCCGGAGGGUUUCGCGAUGCCUACUGCGAUCGUCCCCGGCAUCCGGGAUUCCACGGCGGCAUGGUAGGGUCGCAUUAAACGAAGGGUAAAGAGGGAUGGUAGAUUUUACACGUUUAACUAGAUAUCUAACAUUGUUCGAAUCGCAGGUCGAAAGGUCUUUUCAUCGUCGGUGGCGUUCUUUGUGUUACCUCGUGCAUGACUUUUUCCUUCAAAGACACACUGGCGUGUGCUUUUUGGAGCGAACGAGUCGUAUACGAGUUAUCCGAGACGUUUGUCGGCGAUUGGUGGUGCGUGAAAGGUGCGUGUCGAAGCUGUAGGGUCAGGCGAGGUUAGGGUAGAAAUCCGUGCGCCGUCUACUUACUUACUGCUUCCCGGCGGUACACGUGCCGACCGGGGUUUUUACAGGAUCGGCUUAUCAAAGAGGAUGUAGGCUGGCGCCUUUCAGGCGGUCUGUUAUCACGAUGAGUGUAGGGAAUUGAGAUACUGUUCCGGAGAGUUGGGCCCGACAAAGGGUUCGAUUGUCUGGACUGUUGAGAGUGCGCGAAGAGCGGGUGUCGAUCUGGAUUUUUAUGCUUUGUUGGAAUCUAGUUAAAUGUGUAAAGUAUUUCCGUCAUCGUAUUGGGGUAGAGAAAUAAUCAAAAAUUGAUGUAUUAAAAUGUUUAGCAUCGAACUUUCUAUAGGAAUGUGUUUUAGUCAUCAUUGGUCGGAUGGGAGAUGACUGGGGUUCGAUUUCGGUACUGUGUGAAGAGUCAGGUACUACAGGCGAGUCGUUACUGUGUUACGUAUAAGUUAGUUUAUACGAGUCGAUUCAGGCGAGUCGUUAUUUAAUUAUUUAUUAAUUAAGAUUAGUUCAUUUGCGUCAAAUUUGAGAUAUAUAAGACAAGUGACGAGCGAAAUUGUCGAGCAUUAACGCUGUUUGAAAUUAGGACCCCUCCCCCUCCCGCCCCUUUACUUUUUAUGUGUAUUCAUGUUAAUGUUGUAUCAUUUCUGUAUUUCUGUAUUUUCUUUAAAAAAUUUGUAUUACCUAUUCGUGUAUUUUUGUAAUGACCAAUCAUGGUUUUUCGCUGUCGAGCGGCCGGCAGUGUUUUUUACUCCAGAUUGGUCAACGUGUUGUAGAAUUAACUGAAUUAAGUUUGUAUUGAUUUCUUUGCCGUUGAAAUAUUUAAAACAAUGUUCGUUUUGUGUUGU